AAUGAUGCAGACCUAUACACCAUAGACAAAACCAAUUUUGCCAAAAAGAAAAGCUGCCUCCUCCAUUCAAUUGUAAAGUUGCUGUUUUUCCAUCAAUUUCAUAGCAAAAUUUGUGCUUUAUGUUUCUCUCUAUACACAUAAAUGAAUGAUCCUACCUGUAGAAAGGAUUAAAAGAACCGUACAAAUUAUAAUGUUCUAGAAGAAUAUAUCAAUUGUUGUUGUUUUUGUUUCCGGUAAUGGUGGUGGUGAUGUGAUUGGUCAUGGGGUUUGUAAUCUUCCUCUUUUUUAUUUUGUUGGUUUAAACAAAUUUUUUAGAAGUGCUAAUUUGUUAUAUUUGAUUUGCAGCCACCAAGCUGAGCUAUUUGAUUCAAAAGUAGUGACUAAUCUUUUGGACAUCAUUCUCACAAAGUUUUCAAUGCAACUGACAUCAAUUCAAUACACAAACAUGAAGUUCGUAUUGUUCUGCUGGAUGAGAAUGCUGAUGUGGAGGACUUAGACAAAGAUAAUGAGCUACAGUCUUCAAUCUCAAGUAAACAACAUUCAUUCCUAAAUAGGUGGUCACCUUGUGUGAUAUGGCGAUGUCAACUUAUGAAGGUUUUACGACUUAAGACAAUGGAUGCUUGAGAACCUAAACCUUUGGUAGAGUAAGAAGUGUGGACCAGAAACAGAAUUAGAAGUAUAAGGAGUGAAGAGAGAGAUCAAUUUUUAUGACAUAUAAUAAUAUUUUUUCAUUAUUUCAUGACAUAUAAUAUAUGUGUUUGCUUCAAUUGGAAUUUAUUGUAGAUGUGAGAUUUAUAUUAUGGGUGAAAGCUAUAGUAGGUUCUAUACUUGAUCUUAUAUCACUAUUCAACGUACUGGCUAGAACAUGCCUUGCACAUGCGGCCCAAACUAGUAUAUAUAAAAGCGCG